AGUUAACCUCAUGUACUGCAGUAUGUGGGGAGAAGUUUCUAGAUUGCCAUGAGGCCAGGAGAUCGUUGGGGAGAGCAUGAGGACGGAAGGGAAAGGGGCCCCUGCGCAUGCUGUGACAGUUAGUCCCACACAAACUGUACCUGUGAGAGAGGCAGCAUCCCGGUGGGCAGCUCCGGUGAUAGAGCAGAGAGCGGGGUACGGAGACGCUGGCAGAGAGGCAGUCCUGGUAGCGGCGAUGCUAGAGACGCUGCAGGCAUGGAAAUAGGCGCUGGCAAAAAGGUAGUCUCGGUGACAGUGAGGCUGGAGAACGCUGCAGGCAGACAAAUAGCCCCUGGCAGAGAGGCAGUCCCGGUGAUGUUGGAGAGCCAGAGAGCUGUGCAAUAGAGGCGCAGGCAACCAGAGUAAGAGGGAGAACGGUGAGGAGUGAGAUCCUGUCAGUGCUGAGGACUCACUGAUUGGUACAAGAACUACAAUAAGAGGUGGGAAUGUUUGUUGGAACGGUCUAAAGAAUUUAUUGACGCUGAUAACCCAACUAUAGUUGUACAAUAAAGCUGUUAUACUUA